GACGAACGCUGGCGGCGUGCUUAACACAUGCAAGUCGAACGGUAAGGCCCUUCGGGGUACACGAGUGGCGAACGGGUGAGUAACACGUGGGUGAUCUGCCCUGCACUUCGGGAUAAGCCUGGGAAACUGGGUCUAAUACCGGAUAGGACCACUGCCUGCAUGGGUGGUGGUGGAAAGCUUUCGCGGUGUGGGAUGGGCCCGCGGCCUAUCAGCUUGUUGGUGGGGUGAUGGCCUACCAAGGCGACGACGGGUAGCCGGCCUGAGAGGGUGACCGGCCACACUGGGGCUGAGAUACGGCCCAGACUCCGACGGGAGGCAGCAGUGGGGAAUAUUGCACAAUGGGCGCAAGCCUGAUGCAGCGACACCGCGUGGGGGAUGACGGCCUUCGGGUUGUAAACCUCUUUCAGCACCGACGAAGCGCAAGUGACGGUAGGUGCAGAAGAAGGACCGGCCAACUACGUGCCAGCAGCCGCAGUAA
rnacentral:rRNA from 1 species